rnacentral:rRNA from 1 species
UACAGAGGGUGCGAGCGUUAAUCGGAAUUAUUGGGCGUAAAGGGCGCGUAGGCGGCCUGGCAAGUGGAAGGUGAAAUCCCUCGGCUUAACCGAGGAACUGCCCUCCAAACUGCUAGGCUUGAGUCCGGGAGAGGUGAGUGGAAUUCCCAGUGUAGCGGUGAAAUGCGUAGAUAUUGGGAGGAACACCAGUGGCGAAGGCGGCUCACUGGACCGGAACUGACGCUGAGGCGCGAAAGCUAGGGUAGCAAACGGG